CCUGGCAACGAUAGCGCGGUGGUCCCACCUGACCCCAUGCCGAACUCAGAAGUGAAACGCCGUAGCGCCGAUGGUAGUGUGGGGUCUCCCCAU
rnacentral:rRNA from 1 species